AUUGAACGCUGGCGGCAGGCCUAACACAUGCAAGUCGAACGAGCGGCGGACGGGUGAGUAAUGUAUGGGGAACUGCCCGAUGGAGGGGGAUAACUACUGGAAACGGUAGCUAAUACCGCAUACCAUCAGAUGUACCCAGAUGGGAUUAGCUUGUUGGGGGGGUAAAGGCUCACCAAGGCGACGAUCCCGAGCUGGUCUGAGAGGAUGACCAGCCACACUGGAACUGAGACACGGUCCAGACUCCUACGUGAGGCAGCAGUGGGGAAUAUUGCACAAUGGGCGCAAGCCGGAUGCAGCCAUGCCGCGUGUAUGAAGAAGGCCUUAGGGUUGUAAAGUACUUUCAGCGGGGAGGCAUUACCCGCAGAAGAAGCACCGGCUAACUCCGUGCCAGCAGCCGCGGUAAUAC
rnacentral:rRNA from 1 species